AUGUGGGUCCAUGUCUCUCAGAGUUUUAGGUUAGGCGACAUCUUUAAGGAGUUGUAUGAGGAAGCUUCAGAGCCUAAGGUUCCAUGCCCUCAAUUUAAUAACAUGAAUUCCUUGGAAAAAGAAUUGGAGAGGAAACUAGAUGGAAAGCGAUUCCUUCUGGUCUUAGAUGAUGUCUGGUGCAAUAAGGAUGUCGCUAAUCAGAAUCUACCAGAGUUACUUUCUCCGUUGAAGGUUGGAAAGAGAGGAAGCAAGAUCCUAUUGACAACUCGAAGUAGAUAUGUAUUCCCAGAUCUAGGUCCUGAUGUGAGAUAUACUGCCAUGCCGGUACCCGAGUUUGAUGAUGCUGCCUUCUUUGAGUUGUUCAUGCAUUAUGCCCUUGAAGAUGUCCAAGAUCAAAGAAAGUUCGAGAGCAUUGGGGCUGAGAUUGCAAAAAAGUUGAUGAGGUCACCUCUAGCAGCUAAAACAGUGGGAGGAAAUUUACGUCGGCAACAAGAGGUUAAAUAUUGGAGAGGAGUCAAUGAUAAGGACCUUAUCAAUAAACGGACAGGACCUCUGUGGUGGAGCUACUAUCAACUUGAUGAGCAGGCUAGGCGUUGCUUUGCAUAUUGCAGUAUUUUUCCUAGAAGACAUCGAUUGCGCCGUGAUGACUUAGUGAGACUGUGGGUUGCAGAAGGGUUCAUAAGAAGCACGGAUGAAGGGGGUGAUAUUGAAGAAGUUGCUGAGGAAAUCUUUAAUGAACUAUUGUCGAUCUCAUUUCUUCAACCGGUAGUCCGUGGCUGGGAGUACUAUUAUUAUGGCAUGGGAAAGGACCACUAUUUAGUUCAUGAUCUGCUGCAUGAUUUAGCAGAGGCAGUAGCUGGCAGUGACUGCUUCAGAAUUGACAAUAACACGAGCCAGAAAGGAGGAGGAUGGACAGGAGAUGUUCCCCGAGACGUUCGCCAUCUUUUUGUUCAGAGUUAUGAUGCAACAUUGAUUACUGAGAAGAUUCUUGAAUUGGGAAAGUUACACACUCUCAUCAUUUAUAGUGUUGGAGGGGAUACACCAGUUGAGGAAAUAGUCAUCAAGAACAUACUCAAGAGCCUGCCGAAACUGCGGGUACUAGCAAUUGCUUUUGGAGAAGAGGAUGCAUUUAUUUGUGGACAAAAUAUAUUCGCAGUAACUAUCAGUCAAUUAAAGCAUCUUCGCUAUCUUGCUGUACGGGUGGAAAAUACAUGCACAGUAAUUUUACCAAGCACAGUAAACCAGCUUUACCAGGUGCAGCUGUUAGAUUUUGGUAGAUGCAGUGGUUUGCUACUUUCCUGCCAUGAUCUUGUCAACUUGCGGCAUUUAUUAUGCGGUUCAGAAUUUGCAGAAUUAUCAAUUUCUAACAUCAGUUGGCUUAUCUCACUCCAAACCCUCCAAACAUUCCAAGUAUGGGGAUUAUUAAAAGGGCAGGAGGCAAAGCAGUUGAGGUACCUAAACAGGCUCAGCGGCAAAUUGAGUAUCUCUGGUCUGGAAAGUGUUGAAAGCAGAGAGGAAGCUCUUGAAGUCGAUCUAGCUGCCAAGAAACGGCUCACAGAUCUAACACUGUCAUUCUUUGCAAGUUCAGAAGUUGCAGCAAUGGUACUCGAGGGCCUUUGUCCUCCCGUGGGGCUUAAAGACCUGACAAUCCGUGGCUACAAUGGUUUGGUAUACCCAAAGUGGAUGGUGGGUAGGCAAAAUGGUGGACCAGAGAAGCUGCAGAAUCUUACUCUCUUCUUCUGGAGCCAGCCAGGACCUGCUCCUGCACUGGAGGCUUUCAUUCAUCUUCGUUUGCUCCAUCUGACGCACUGCAGUUGGAGCGCCUUGCCAGGCAAUAUGGAGCACCUUAGCUCGCUCGAGGCACUAUGGAUCUAUAAUUGUUCGAAUGUUCGGUCGCUUCCAAAGCUACCACAGUCUCUUGAGGAUUUUGCACUCGUCCACUGCAACGAUGGGUUUAUGGAGUCUUGUCAAACAGUUGGACAUCCAAACUGGCAAAACAUUCAACACAUCCCCAGCAAAUAUUUUGGGAGUAAGAACACAUCCCAAAAAGGGUAG
rnacentral:rRNA from 1 species